rnacentral:rRNA from 1 species
AUUGAACGCUGGCGGCGUGCCUAACACAUGCAAGUCGAGCGGUAACAGGUGUAGCAAUACAUGCUGACGAGCGGCGAACGGGUGAGUAAUGCUUCGGAAUCUACCCAAUGGUGGGGAAUAACCAGCCGAAAGGUUGGCUAAUACCGCAUACGUCCUACGGGAGAAAGCAGGGGAUCGUAAGACCUUGCGCCAAUGGAUGAGCCGAAGUCGGAUUAGCUAGUUGGUAGGGAACGGCCUACCAAGGCGACGAUCCGUAGCUGGUCUGAGAGGACGACCAGCCACACUGGGACUGAGACACGGGCCCAGACUCCUACGGGAGGCAGCAGUGGGGAAUAUUGGACAAUGGGGGAAACCUUGAUCCAGCGACGCGCGUGUGUGAAGAAGGCCUGCGGGUUGUAAAGCAC